GACGAACGCUGGCGGCGUGCUUAACACAUGCAAGUCGAACGAAGAGCGAUGGAAGCUUGCUUCUAUCAAUCUUAGUGGCGCACGGGUGAGUAACGCGUAAUCAACCUGCCCUUCAGGGGGGGACAACAGUUGGAAACGACUGCUAAUACCGCAUACGAUCCAAUCUCGGCAUCGAGGAUGGAUGAAAGGUGGCCUCUAUUUAUAAGCUAUCACUGAAGGAGGGGAUUGCGUCUGAUUAGCUAGUUGGAGGGGUAACGGCCCACCAAGGCGAUGAUCAGUAGCCGGUCUGAGAGGAUGAACGGCCACAUUGGGACUGAGACACGGCCCAGACUCCUACGGGAGGCAGCAGUGGGGAAUCUUCCGCAAUGGACGAAAGUCUGACGGAGCAACGCCGCGUGAGUGAUGACGGCCUUCGGGUUGUAAAGCUCUGUUAAUCGGGACGAAAGGUCCUCUUGCGAAUAGUUAGAGGAAUUGACGGUACCGGAAUAGAAAGCCACGGCUAACUACGUG
rnacentral:rRNA from 1 species